rnacentral:rRNA from 1 species
GACGAACGCUGGCGGCGUGCCUAAUACAUGCAAGUAGAACGCUGAAGGAGGAGCUUGCUCUUCUGGAUGAGUUGCGAACGGGUGAGUAACGCGUAGGUAACCUGCCUGGUAGCGGGGGAUAACUAUUGGAAACGAUAGCUAAUACCGCAUAACAGUAGAUAUUGCAUGAUAUCUGCUUGAAAGGUGCAAUUGCACCACUACCAGAUGGACCUGCGUUGUAUUAGCUAGUUGGUGAGGUAACGGCUCACCAAGGCGACGAUACAUAGCCGACCUGAGAGGGUGAUCGGCCACACUGGGACUGAGACACGGCCCAGACUCCUACGGGAGGCAGCAGUAGGGAAUCUUCGGCAAUGGACGGAAGUCUGACCGAGCAACGCCGCGUGAGUGAAGAAGGUUUUCGGAUCGUAAAGCUCUGUUGUAAGAGAAGAACGAGUGUGAGAGUGGAAAGUUCACAG